UACAUAUAUAAUAUGGUCAAGGGCAGAAUUGUACCCUCUAGGUGGAGCUUAUCUAGCCGUUCCUGCAUCCUUUAGUGUCCCUCAAACUUCUUCAUAUCCUUUAACCCUCUAAAUUUUGUGACACUAAACUUUUGUGCACGUAAUCCUUCCCCAUACUUAAACCCUCGACCAAACAUGACACCACAUGAAACCCUAUGUUCUUCUUCCUCCUUUUUUUCUUCUAGGCGGCCAACGAUGACAUCUGACCACUGCUCCCUCAGUUU
rnacentral:lncRNA from 1 species